rnacentral:rRNA from 1 species
UACGUAGGGUGCAAGCGUUAAUCGGAAUUACUGGGCGUAAAGUGUGCGCAGGCGGCCGAGCAAGUCGAGUGUGAAAAGCCCCCGAGCUUAACUUGGGAAUGCGCUCGAAACUGCUUGGCUAGAGUGUGGCAGAGGGAGGUGGAAUUCCACGUGUAGCGGUGAAAUGCGUAGAGAUGUGGAGGAACACCGAUGGCGAAGGCAGCCUCCUGGGCCAACACUGACGCUCAUGCACGAAAGCGUGGGGAGCAAACAGG